ensembl:lncRNA LINC00951 long intergenic non-protein coding RNA 951
GAGAGGGAGGGAGCUGAGGUCCUGGAAGAAAGCAAGGUUCUCACCACAACAGACCCCGACAGGAUGCCUGGGAACCAGAUUGUCUCAGGAACAUCGGGAUUCAGGAUCUGAAGCCCUGUGUACUAGCCCUCUGUCUGGUUCCCUAGAAGCAGGGUUUGAGAGGAGAUUCCAGCGUGUGGUUUGUUGAAUAAGAAAACUGAGACACAGAAAAGUCACACAAGAUUAUCGAGGUCAACACAGAGAACAGUGGAACCUGCACCUGACCCCAGGCAGGCGGAACCUUCAUGACCACACCACACCACCACAGGGAACAGGCAGGGAAAACAAUGGGUCUAGCAGGACAAAAGUGACAUUUCCCAGAGUUUCUUGCUGUUUGGAUCUGGCUGCAGUUUCAGUUUUGCCAAGAAGAGGCAUUUCCAUGAGCUCUGGACAGUGGCAGAGAGGCAGAGGUGCUCCACUGCAGUGUGCUGGAUGGUCCACGGGCUCCUGCCAAUGUGAGGAUUUGCAGCAACUGGUAUAUCCAUGGUCUUGUCACCAGCUUCCUGAAUUCGGGGCAGCUGGAGCCACACUAGUGGUCCUUCCUUGCAGGGGCAGCAGCUGUCUCCUGGUCUCAGAAUCACAGCUGUGGGGAUGCAACCUUAAGCCAAAAGCCUAGCGGUGGGUGGUCCUAAACUUCUUUUGUCUAGGCCCUCUGAUCCCUCUGUAAGUCGCUAUUUCCCUUAUUAAAUCUCUUUCUGCUG